rnacentral:rRNA from 1 species
AUUGAACGCUGGCGGCAGGCCUAACACAUGCAAGUCGAGCGGAGGAAGGGAGCUUGCUCCUGGAUUCAGCGGCGGACGGGUGAGUAAUGCCUAGGAAUCUGCCUGGUAGUGGGGGAUAACGUCCGGAAACGGGCGCUAAUACCGCAUACGUCCUGAGGGAGAAAGUGGGGGAUCUUCGGACCUCACGCUAUCAGAUGAGCCUAGGUCGGAUUAGCUAGUUGGUGGGGUAAAGGCCUACCAAGGCGACGAUCCGUAACUGGUCUGAGAGGAUGAUCAGUCACACUGGAACUUAGACACGGUCCAUACUCCUACGGGAGGCAGCAGUCGGGAAUAUUGGGCAAUGGGCGAAAGCCUGAUCCAGCCAUGCCGCGUGUGUGAAGAAGGUCUUCGGAUUGUAAAGCACUUUAAGUUGGGAGGAAGGGCAGUAAGUUAAUACCUUGCUGUUUUGACGUUACCAACAGAAUAAGCACCGGCUAACUUCGUG